GGGGAAUAUUGGACAAUGGGGGGAACCCUGAUCCAGCCAUGCCGCGUGUGUGAAGAAGGCCUUAUGGUUGUAAAGCACUUUAAGCGAGGAGGAGGCUCCUAUAGAUAAUACCUAUAGAGAGUGGACGUUACUCGCAGAAUAAGCACCGGCUAACUCUGUGCCAGCAGCCGCGGUAAUACAGAGGGUGCGAGCGUUAAUCGGAUUUACUGGGCGUAAAGCGUACGUAGGCGGCUUUUUAAGUCGGAUGUGAAAUCCCCGAGCUUAACUUGGGAAUUGCAUUCGAUACUGGGAAGCUAGAGUAUGGGAGAGGAUGGUAGAAUUCCAGGUGUAGCGGUGAAAUGCGUGGAGAUCUGGAGGAAUACCGAUGGCGAAGGCAGCCAUCUGGCCUAAUACUGACGCUGAGGUACGAAAGCAUGGGGAGCAAAC
rnacentral:rRNA from 1 species